rnacentral:rRNA from 1 species
CGGCGUGGAUUAGGCAUGCAAGUCGAGCGAGAAGCUUUUUUUUGAUCUUUCGAGUGAAGAAAAAAGUGGACAGCGGCGAAAGGGAGAGUAACGAGUAGAUUACGUACCUGAGGGUUCAGGAUAGCGGGGGGAAACCGCCGGUAAUACUGAAUAAUGUUUCCGAACCAAAGAUUUAUCGCCCUCGGAGCGGUUUGCUUACUAUUAGUUUGUUGGUGGGGUAAAGGCCUACCAAGGCUAAGAUGGUUAGCGGGUGUGAGAGCAUGGCCCGUCUCACUGGGACUGAGACACUGCCCAGACACCUACGGGUGGCUGCAGUCGAGAAUCUUCCGCAAUGGACGAAAGUCUGACGGAGCGACGCCGCGUGCGGGAUGAAGGCCUUCGGGUUGUAAACCGCUGUCGUAGGGGAGGAAAUUUUGACCGAUCCUAGGAGGAAGCACAGGCUAAGUUCGUGCCAGCAGCCGCGGUAAUACGAACUGUGCGAACGUUAUUCGGAAUCACUGGGCUUAAAGGGUGCGUAGGCGGCUAUGAAGGUCAGGUGUGAAAUCCCACGGCUCAACCGUGGAACUGCGCCUGAAACCACAUAGCUUGAGGAAGUCAGAGGUAAGCGGAACUGAUGGUGGAGCGGUGAAAUGCGUUGAUAUCAUCAGGAACACCGGUGGCGAAAGCGGCUUACUGGGACUUUUCUGACGCUGAGGCACGAAAGCCAGGGGAGCGAACGGGAUUAGAUACCCCGGUAGUCCUGGCUGUAAACGAUCUGUACUAGUCUGUGGGGACUUCCACAUCCUCUCGGACGUAGCGAAAGUGUUAAGUACAGCGCCUGGGGAGUAUGGUCGCAAGGCAA